GCCAGGUCACCAUGUGGACAGAGAUGAGGCUAUAAACCAGGGCCCGAUCACAUGGGCUCUCGGAGGCUGUGCGAAGAACAUCCCAAGAGACCAGGGAGCCACUGAAGUCACUAAUCAGGAGUCCCAGGCCAGGGAAGGAGCCCACGAGGGGCCAGUGGCCAGGCUGGAGCCAGUGUCCUGCCCCAGUCACGUGGCCUCAUGCUGAUCCCGUUCCUUCUGAAGUAGCUCUACUAUUCAAAACGGGGUGCCUCUGAAUGGGACCAAGGAGGAGUCAUCCUGCAAGCCUCCUCGCAGGACUGGACCAAACCCUGGCUAGCAUCCUGGAGCACGUGAGGCAAUGUGGGAUGGUGACUCAUAGCUGGUUGGAGAGCUGAGCCUGAAGGCCAGCCAGGAAGGGGUGACCUAGGAGGAGCCACACGGGCUCCAGAGUGGCCUCAAGGGUACAUAUGCUGCUCUUAGAGAGUGGGUGGGAGUGAAGCGGACAC